AACCCUUGGGUGGUGGCGACGGUGAUUACGACGACGGGUUGUGGGCCUACCAGAGGGUGCGGCAGGCGGCAGUGCAAGGCGACUCAUAGCGGGGCGCGGGGCCGAUGCUCGCAGCAGUGGCGGGAGUGAGCAUGGUGUAGGCAGCUGCCAGAUGUGGUGCGGGCGGUAGUCGGCAUGGACACGCAGAUGUUCAUCCGGGACGCACACCACUCCGCCACACCUGCCGACCCCUGCGCAGCACACCCACCCCUGCGCUCGGCCACCGCGGCGGCGGCGGCCCGGCUCCAGCGCGCCGACGGCUGCGGCGGAGGCCCCGGAGGCGGUCGUCGGGGCGGGCGGCGCAAGGUGGGAGCCGAUGGGCGCGCGGGAGUACUACGACUACCGGCGGAUCAAUCUACGGCGACAUCACGCACAAGGCCAUCCUCGUCGACGCCGCCGGCACCCUCCUCGCCCCACCGAGCCCAUGGCCCAGGUGUACAGAACAGUAGGCGAAAAGUAUGGGGUGAAUUACUCGGAGGAUGAGAUCUUGAUGAGGACCUCGAGGCCUCGGAGAACCCCUCGGAACAAGACGCGCGUGGGAGCUCUGCCUUGAUGGGGAAAACAAUGGAGUUGGUGCAGUGGCGAAUGUGGGCGGGGUCGGCCAUGGAGGGAGACUUGCUGGUCGGAGCAGCAGGAGCAAGAAGGUUGAGGCGGUUCAGAUAUUUAACUGCAUUAGUGAAUGUUCUGGGUCUGAUACAGCAGCUAAUCUUAGGGCAAGACAAGAACAUUAGUUGGAUCCAGAGUAUUGAGAUUGCAGAGGACUCAACAAAGGAUCUGCACUUAUUCUAUAAAUUCAGUAUCAGGUUAGUGCCUCUGUUUAGUGAUUAUAUAGAACUACCUUUUGAACUUGCAGAAACUGAAUGCAUAUAAGAAUCGAGGACCUUUACAGUGGAUGCAUGAUGAUGAUCAUCCACCGAGCAGCACAUCAUCUUGGAAAAGCAUAUGCGAAUUUCUGCUAGGUUUGCUUCUCCGGUUGUCCCUCCCAUCAACUCUCUCAGCUCCCAAACCAUUAACCCCGUCCUGGUUGUUCCUAUAUUUUCUUUUUGUUUUGUUUUUACCAAUGCACUUUUCUUGGCAUGUUUUAGUGUGUUCCUUCCUACGGCCAGCUCGACCAUUUGCUCCGCAUGGAGUUUUUUAGCUCAGAAGGAGCAAAUAAUUUGAGAAUGCAUUGGUCUUUUCUGCAAUCUGUUGUACAGGGGGAUCUUUCAUGUUUUUCUGCAGUUCUUUCUUCUCUUUGGCAAUUCAUUUGGAUUGUGUCUCUCUCAAGCUUGGGCAUAUUAGUUGUAUGGUUGACUUUUUUUAGUAGCAGGGAGUAACUAAGUAGUUCACAAGCCAAGCAUUUGUAAACUUUGAUCAUUUAUUUGUAGAGAGUAUAUUACUUUUUUUUGUUCACCGUUUAGAUAUACAUUUUGUGCUUGGCCUGCUGUAUUUUCUUGAAGUAAACACUUUAUUAGCUCUUUUACAGUUAAAAAUGCAUGCUUGCAAGUUGCAAUAUAUAGCUGUUAAUCUCAUGCUCCAAUCUUUAAUUUGCUAAUCUGAUAUUCAACUUUACUUUCAAGGAUAAGUUGGUCAAUGCAGGAAAAUCUAAAAGAAAGCGACUAAAAUCAACAUUUGAAGGUACAUCCUGUAUUACGUUACUACAGAAAUUAAUAUUGUGGUCUGUUAUUGGGAAUCAUGAGUUUCCUGAUAAUGAGACCCAUUAGUAAGGGUUUGUUCAGAAGGCACUGCCUAUAUAAAUGUGAUGUACUGGUGUUUUGAUCGAUUGUCUCUUCACCUAUCUAGAUUACUAAGCUCGAGCUAUUUACAGAAUCUUAUACUUUAAUAAGUACUACAUUAUCAAUUUUGGAGUAGUAGAGUAUUCAUGUAUAGGUAUAUAAAGUUAGUCAUGAUCAGAUUCCUAUAUGUUAUGUAGGUUCGGCAUAUCCUAAAUAGUAGAACAUAAAAUCAGUGCCAUGAAAUAUUAAUUUGAGAAAAUUUAAUUUACCAUUUCUUUCAUAUGAACUUAAGGAGAAGGCGCUUAUUUCACCGGCUAAGGUUUCUGUUGGUUACUUCUUUUCGUCCUUCGGUUCAUCAAAAAAUGAAGAGGAUCAUGCCUUUCUGUUGGAAUUGCUUUUCUGGUUUAAGCAAUCAUUCAGGUUAUUGAAACACUCUCAUGCCUCUUUUGUUCAGUCAUUACUAAUGCUGAGUGUCGUGUGUCUGAUAUGGUUUCAUGAGAGUAAUUACCAGUAGUGAGAGGGUUCAGAUUAGGGAUUACGAAUAUGAAGUAGAUGCCUUAUAUAUAGAUGCCUAAAGAUUCAAAAACUAAUAUUUAUCUCUAAUCAUCCUUACAUGCAAGGGGGGCACAUUUCCGGAGGGCGGCGGUGUUGAAGGGACCCGCUAGCGCUGGCCAAGAUCCCGAUCGAUGGACUCGCCUGGUCGCUGGAGCCAGAUCGCGCGUCGGCUUGGGGACACCUCGGGGAUGUCCACAACAGUGCGGGAUGGGGACCGAGCAUCGGGGCAUGUGGCGGGUUCCGGUUGAGGGCUUGAUCAUAUAACUGAAUUAUUAUUGCUUGCUUUCUGACAUUGUGACAUUGAACACUAGAGUUGAAUUGACUCUCUUCACAAGAUUCACUUUGAUACGGCCAUUUUCUUAAUGACAGUCUUCAUGUGAAGGUUUCAAGUACUACAAAUAGGAGGAGGCAGGAGUGGAUGCAAUCUUGAUACGAAAUGACACUUACGGAGCUUCUUUACCUAACAUGGCCAAGAACUUUACCUAACAUGGCCAAGAAGUCCGCAAAAUCCAGUGAGCGUAGAGUAUAGCCGGUUGGAUACAUAUCUGUAGAGUGCAUGUAGUGUGUGUGUCAGAUAUACAGUGGGAAAACACCACAAUGCAAGUGUCAGAUCCUGUUCUUGAUGCAAUUUUGCGACUUUAUUCUGGACUGUUAAGCAAUUGGUUGAUGUUAAGCUGAAACUCGGAUCAGUCUUGUGGCUCUUCUGUACCUAUAUGCCUAGAUUAUUUGCUAAUGGUAUAUGAACUAUAUCUUCCUGUAUAGGAUGAUCAAUUGCCAGGAAUAGAAAGACUAUGGUUUUGAUUUUUA